rnacentral:rRNA from 1 species
GAUGAACGCUGGCGGCGUGCCUAAUACAUGCAAGUCGAGCGAACGGACGAGAAGCUUGCUUCUCUGAUGUUAGCGGCGGACGGGUGAGUAACACGUGGAUAACCUACCUAUAAGACUGGGAUAACUUCGGGAAACCGGAGCUAAUACCGGAUAAUAUUUUGAACCGCAUGGUUCAAAAGUGAAAGACGGUCUUGCUGUCACUUAUAGAUGGAUCCGCGCUGCAUUAGCUGGUUGGUAAGGUAACGGCUUACCAAGGCAACGAUGCAUAGACGAAGUGUGAGAGUGGUCGCCCACCUUGGAACUGAGACACGGUCCAGGCUCCUAAGGGAGGCAGCAGUAGGGAAUCGGCGGCAGCGGGCGAGAGCAUGACGGAGCAGCGCGGCGUGAGUGAUAACGGUCUCCGGAUCGUAAAAAUCUGUUAUUAGGGAAGAACAUAUGUGUAAGGAAAUGUACACAUCUUGACGGUACCGAAUCAGAAAGCAACGGCUAACUACGUG